GUUCAACACUGAUAGAUAUAAUAAAAUCAACAUUUUUACAGAAAAGUAUUUCUUUAGAUUUAAAAAGAACACACAUUUCAAGCACUUGAAAGAGGUCCACACAUGUAAGUUAUCAUCUUCCAGUAUCAAAAUGAUGUGUUGAAAACUCUGAGGAAAUGAGUUAAUGAAGUCACACAGGAAAAGUAAAAA